CCUACGGGGGGCUGCAGUGGGGAAUAUUGGACAAUGGGGGCAACCCUGAUCCAGCCAUGCCGCGUGUGUGAAGAAGGCCCUCGGGUUGUAAACCACUUUCAGUGAGGAAGAACGCCUGGUGGUUAAUACCCAUCAGGAAAGACAUCACUCACAGAAGAAGCACCGGCUAACUCCGUGCCAGCAGCCGCGGUAAUACGGAGGGUGCGAGCGUUAAUCGGAAUUACUGGGCGUAAAGCGCGCGUAGGUGGCUUGAUAAGCCGGUUGUGAAAGCCCCGGGCUCAACCUGGGAACGGCAUCCGGAACUGUCAAGCUAGAGUGCAGGAGAGGAAGGUAGAAUUCCCGGUGUAGCGGUGAAAUGCGUAGAGAUCGGGAGGAAUACCAGUGGCGAAGGCGGCCUUCUGGACUGACACUGACACUGAGGUGCGAAAGCGUGGGUAGCAAACAGGAUUAGAUACCCGAGUAGUC
rnacentral:rRNA from 1 species